rnacentral:rRNA from 1 species
GUUUUAUUGAAAAUAAUUUUAAGUCAAUCUGCCCAAUGAAUAAUUUAUUUUAAUGGCUGCAGUAUAACUAACUGUACAAAGGUAGCAUAAUCAAUUGAUUUUUAAAUGAAAUCUGGAAUGAAAGGAUUAAUGAAAUAUAUACUGUCUCAUAUUUAUUUUAUGAAUUUAAAAUUUUAAUAAAAAUGUUAAAAUUUAUUUAUGGGACGAUAAGACCCUAUAGAAUUUUAUAUUAAAUUAAUUUUAUAAUUAAAUAUAAAAUUUAAUUUAAUAUUUAAUUGGGAGAAUUAUUAAAUUUAAUAAAUUUUAAUUAAUAAAAACUUUAAUUAAAGAAAAUUUAUUGAUUUUUAAUUUAAAAUUAAUAGAUUAAAUUACCUUAGGGAUAACAGCGUAAUAUUUUUUUAUAGAUCUUAUAGAAAAAAAUGAUUGCGACCUCGAUGUUGAAUUAAGAUAAAUUUUAAAUGUAGAAGUUUAAUAAUUAAGUCUGUUCGACUUUUAAAAUCUUACAUGAUUUGAGUUCAAAUCGACGUAAGU